AUGCAACAUGCCCCCAAGCUCCGCCCCGCCCUCCUCUCCGUCCAGAUCCAUGCCUCAAGGUCUGCACCCUUGCCCGCGGCUAGGGAUUCGGGCGCCCCCAUGUUCUUGCCGCCGAGUGCCCAGGUCGGCCCGCUGGCCAACGAGCAGCACACCGCACCUGCGCGUGCCCAGGCCGACGAGCAGUACGGGGACUGGCCGCGGACGGAGACGAGUGCAGGCGCGGUAGCAGGAGAAGCUGUGGCGGCGGCGGAUCUGGUGACCGCCGGGUCGGCUCGUCGACCCGGCAUAUAUCCCAACGAGAUAUGGUCGCUCCUGCUCUGGCUAGGCAUCACGAUGGCCAGGACAAGGGGCCCCGCCGGCCGGCUGCUCCGGCGGCGGAUACUUGUCGUGUCUCUCCCGAUACGAGAUCCCAUAUCCACCGCCGGGGCCGAGCUAGGGCAAGCCACCGACGACAUGGUUGCGUUCGAGCGUGAGGCCACCGGGGAACCUGUAUCGAAGCGGACACGCCGCUGCCGCCUCCCGGAGGAGAUCGUGGCGUGUGAGAUCCUUGUCCGCCUUCCGGCCAGGGACAUCCUCCGCUGCCGCGCGGUUUGCCACUACUGGCGCCGCCUCGCCUCUGCCCCUGAUUUCCUCCUCGCCCAUCACCGGCGCCAGCCGUCGCUCCCCCUCGUCACCCUCUACCGCGCGCUCUGUAUAAGUAGAGCGGAUGUCCUCCCAAUCUGCGGCCGUGGCCGGCCCAUCGUCGAGUUCGACGACUACAACAACAACCGCAGUGGCUUCAAGCUGCAUGCCUCCUGUGACGGCCUCCUCCUGCUCAGCCGAUCUGACGAGAGCUUCAGCAUCUGCAACCCAGCCACGCGUCAGUGCGCUCCCCUCCGAAACCUCACCACCGUUGGCCACAUCAACAUUGUGAUAGCCGCGUUGUACCUCCACCACACAUCAGGUGAGUACCGUGUCCUCUACUGGAAAAAGAGACACUGGAAAGGGAAUCAACAAGUGAAAGAAGCUUCCUGCUACAUCCUUACGGUGCGGCGGAGAGGCUCACCGAGGUGCAUCCGAGUUCCUUCAGAGAUCCCUGCCGUUAAGAAAUCUAUGAUAGCUGCGAACGUGAUGACCACUAUUAAUGUGGCCCCACCCGUCAUGUUCCGCAACUGCCUGCAUUGGGAACCUAGCUGGCUUUGCUAUGAUGUCGGGGACAUAGUCGUUUUCAACACGCUGGCUGAGUCAUUCAGAUCCAUGUGCUGCCCGCCUGGUGCUACUAGUUCCUGCACUCGCUUGUGCGACAUGGAAGGCUCGAUCGGCUUCAGUUGCUUUGAUGAUGGGAGGACAAUCGUCAGAACCUGGGUGCUUGAGGACUAUGAGAGGGAGGUAUGGGCAUUCAAGUACCAUGUUAAACUCCCUGUGGAGAGCUUGUGUCACUUGACAGAUACACGACAUUUCAUUUUCUCCGACAAGCGAGAUGUGCUCGUCUACAGUAUGUACGCACGUUACAUGUUCCAUUGUGACAGUACUGGCAAGUUGCUAGACGAAUUCCAAUGGAAUCCUGAGUCACAGGGUUUGAGCAUUAUUGGGCAUAGGUUCAAAGAAAGCCUUGUCGAGCAUAAGUUAUUCGCAAGGCGAGAAGCAGCACAUGAUGGACAACCAAGUUUUUUCGAAAGGUUCUAA
rnacentral:rRNA from 1 species